rnacentral:lncRNA from 1 species
GUAUAGUCCUCGAGAUUAUGUUCGUGAUGUUUAAGAUAUCUUGUUGGCGUUUAGACAAAUCUUAGAUUGUCGUUUGCCUAUUGGGACGAUUUUAUUGAGGCAUCCGAUUGCCUAAGUGUUUUCUGCCUAUUGCUGCAAGAAUUUACUUUGUCAAAAGCAUUUUUUUUAUGCCGAGGCAAAACGUUUUUUGAAGUAAGGGAGUAUGCGAGUAUAGUAUACGUACCUACUCCCUCCCUUUUUUUUUGAGGAAAAGAAUGACCGACAAUCUGGGUCGGUUUAAAGACGACACUAGGAUUGCGACUUGGUGGUUUUCAGGUUGGUAACUUGGAAUAUGUCGGUUUUUAAGAAAGUUGCUAGGAA